rnacentral:tRNA from 1 species
AAGCUUAGGUUAAACAAACCAAAGGGCCUUUCAAAAGUCCAAAAACAAGAGUCACCACCCUCCUAGCUCCU